UGGGGGAUAUUGCACAAUGGGCGAAAGCCUGAUGCAGCGACGCCGCGUGGGGGAUGAAGGCCUUCGGGUUGUAAACUUCUUUUGCUCUGAACAAGGCAUGCCUUUGGGGUGUGUUGAGUGUAGGGGUUGAUUAGCGCCGGCUAACUACGUGCCAGCAGCCGCGGUAAUACGUAGGGCGCGAGCGUUGUGCGGAAUUAUUGGGCGUAAAGGGCUUGUAGGUGGCUGGUUGCGUCUGUCGUGAAAGCUCAUGGCUUAACUGUGGGUUUGCGGUGGGUACGGGCUGGCUUGAGUGCAGUAGGGGAGGCUGGAAUUCCUGGUGUAGCGGUGGAAUGCGCAGAUAUCAGGAGGAAUACCGGUGGCGAAGGCGGGUCUCUGGGCUGUUACUGACGCUGAGGAGCGAAAGCGUGGGGAGCGAACAGG
rnacentral:rRNA from 1 species